CACAACACUCACGAACCUAACUUCCAGCUACAGCUGCUGCUACGGCCGCUCGUUCAAGAUACCGGAGCAAGCACAUCUGUUCACGGUGCUAGGCUACAUCACGUAGCAUGCCAGACGGACCCACCACAGAUGCGCACACAUGGAACGCAGCUUUCUAUGAAAACACUGCGACCUCACUACAAAAGUACAGGCACACAGAAAACUGUGCUGCACUGAUGUUGGUGUUGGGACCUCAGCUGUAAGAGACCUCGUUUGGAGGAGGGAGAGGACAACCCAAGUUGUUCAAGUAUGGACUUCGGAGAGCCACAGGAUGCUACCUAUGAUCCUGAUGACUCAAUCACAGUCUUGACUGAGUCAGCAGAUGUGACAUUACGUGGAUAACCUGUUGGACCUCAUCUUUCACGAGGUUUUUCAGGACCCGGCCCCAUAUGUGAAUGAGGUGCUGAAGAUCUCAAAACCUGAGGACCUCUCUGCUAAGUAUGAGAAACCUGACAAGCAGGAAGUUAUAGGCAGGUCUGAACCCUGUAUAACUUCCCUGAGCAUCAGGGAACACUCUGCGUAUCUGGAGCACCGAGCAGGAGGGCAGGACCACCCUGAUUCUCCGGCCCAGGUGGCCUCAACACCAGCUCACAAAGCUUCUGUACGCCAAAUACCUGUAACGGCUGAGCAAAGUUUACAUUGUAUUUAGAGAAUAAAGGUGACACACAAAUAUAAAGUGUUCCUUUGUUUACAGUAUGGCUACUGAUGGCACAAAUUGUAUUUUUGUAAUCAAUGUUUUCAUUAUACUUGGUAUUUUUUGUAUUUAUUACCUCUG